GAUGAAGUGCAUUUUGAAGGAAAACAUUGCUUGUAUUUGAGUGAGGAAGGGGCAUCUUUAAGCUCGGUAUUACUUCUCUGAAGAAGAUACCUGUGGCAACCAAACUGGGCUGGUGUCUUUUGUAACACUCUGCACGUCGCUGUUUCUCAAAUACUUUAAACUGUUCACAAUUGUAUGGUCAGCUUUGAACAUGGACAAACCAUGAAAUAAACAUUUG
rnacentral:lncRNA from 1 species